UACAGAGGUCCCAAGCGUUGUUCGGAUUCACUGGGCGUAAAGGGUGCGUAGGUGGUGAGGUAAGUGGGAUGUGAAAGCUCGGAGCUCAACUCCGAAAUGGCAUUGGAAACUACCUUGCUCGAGGGUUGGAGGGGGGACUGGAAUACUUGGUGUAGCAGUGAAAUGCGUAGAUAUCAAGUGGAACACCAGUGGCGAAGGCGGCCAUCUGGACCGUUUCUGACGCUGAGGCGCGAAAGCGUGGGGAGCAAACAGG
rnacentral:rRNA from 1 species